GUAGAUAUUUUCUUUGUACAUUAUUAGUGCUGUUUUGAAUUUGACAGUAUAGAUAUUUCAUAAACAGCAGGUUUGUGUGCUCUCUGCAUUCGGCCUUGUUAAUUAUUCCGAUUGCUCUUUGUUGUAGAGCGCUUUUACAGCUGGUUCCCCAGACCACCUCACAGUCUGACUGAUAUGGUCAACACUGAAUCAUAUAAGACGUGUCAUGAUUUAAAUGCAAUCAAUGUGAAAACAAUCCAGUUUUUCUUUGUUGCAAAGCUGCUGCAGAAACAACCUUACUUUUUGGAAAAUUCAUUGGCGUCAGUGUGAAAGUUUAGUCUUGUGGAACUGAAGCAAAGAAGUAAAUGAAUUCAAUUGAAUUGACAGUUGCAUUGUGGGUAAUGCUGUCACCUGGUUUAAAUAUGUAGAAUGGGACGGAUAAUUGUUUGCUUAAUUGUUUAGGAGAGAAAACUUCCUGUCCUGCUGACUCCAGACAGCCCAAUUGUCCACCGGUGGUGAAUAUCACCAGACCGGGACGUCGCACCAAUCAGCUCGGUUAUCUGGAGGGGCUGGCGACGGAGUUGUGGAACCAUCAGCUGUCCAGGCAGUUCCACUUCCUACUAAAACCAGCGAUACUCCCCGUAAGUGACACAAAUAUUUAGAAUAAUAAAGCACUUUUAAAAAUAUUUUACUGAAGUCAGUAUUUGCAGAUAUUGUAGCUGUAGUCAGAUGCUUGCUAACUAAGUCCUUCUUGUCUUGCAGAGCUACUACAAAGUUAUUACGACUCCCAUGGACCUCAGCACAAUCAGGGAGAGGCUAAAGAACCACUACUACCAACAUGGUGUGGAGUGUGUUCAGGACUUUUUAUGGGUCUUCAGUAACUGCUAUAGAUUCCAUCAGGUAACGGGACACUUGACAUUCAUCAGCACCUUUCCCAUCAAAAGAGGGUUUUUUAUUUUGCGUUACGUCUUCUCUCCACAGCCGCAAGCAGAUAUUGUGUCGAAGGCCAAGUCCCUGGAGGCCAUCUUCUUCAGAAUGCUGUCAAAGAUGCCGUUUCCAGAACGUGAAAUCAAGACAAAAGAAUCCACAGGACCUUCAAGAACCCCUCUGAAUGAGGCUCAAUUAUUAGCACCAGCAAAGAAAAUUCCACAGGGGGACCAAAUACCGAUUAGUAAGUGAAACCAAAGCCCACGCUGGCCUUUCCUGGUCUUUGUUGCUCCCAUAACAUUGAUUAAAAUUUUAUUUGUGUCAGGGAUCAGAGGCCGCCAGGCCGAUACAGUUUAUAGAAAACCUGCCGUGAAAAAGGCUCCAUCUGCUGAAACGGUAAUUAUCUUUGGCUUAUCUUUGGCUUUGGCUAUAUAUAUAGAUAUAUAUAUCUAUAUAUAUAUGCAUAAUCAGCCUCUUGAAUACCUGUACAUAGUACAGAGGGUGUAUACAAUAUACAAUCAAUCAAUCAAUUUUUAUUUAUAUAGCAUCUUUUACAAUCAAAAUUGUUUCUAGGCGCUUUAAAGAAUCCCAGGGCCUAACCCCAAACAAUCAAAGGUGGCAAGGAAAAACUCCCCUUUAACAGGAAGAAACCUUGAGCAGGACCAUACAUAUCAGAAUAUAUAAUAUUCAGUGUGUGCUAUAGCAGGCAUUAUGAUUGUUGUACAGUCUGACAGCAGCCGGCAGGAAAGAUCUGCGAUACCGCUCCUUCACACAGCGAGGGUGGAGCAGCCGCUCACUGAAGGAGCUGCCCAGUGCUGUCAGGGUGUCCUGUAUCAAUUUCUGAAGUAGUAUUUUCUUUUGUUUUGUUUUCCAGCCAAUUUUCGGGAAGAAUCCGAAGGCCUGGGAGACACUCAAGGUUCUCCCAUCUGAGAAAAAGCCAAUUCCCAAACGUAAAUAUUCCUAAAUAUCACCAAUAUCAACAUUGUAUUAACCAGCUUAUGAGAAAUACGGGUUAUUGACUGAUUUUAAUUUAAUGGGCAGUAGAAACAUCCUUCCCGCUGCAAAAAGCUGAAGAACAGGGCAGACAGGCAGAUGUGAGUACCACCUCUAUGCAACCGUGAUCUCUUUGUCUUUGCGGAGGAAAGGUCAUUUAACAUUUAACAGUGUCCAGAAUAUGAAAUAAAAACUCCAAAACAAUCCACAAAAGGACUGUCAAGAAACCCUCUGAAUGAGGUGACGUCUCUUCCUUGACGUCAUUAAGCGUCUUUAUCCUCAAUAUCGUAUUUGUGGAUUUCUUUGACUCCAUUUUUAGUGUUCUUACUAACAGAUUAAACUGGUUCAUUCUUGGCAACUUUUUUUCCAAUUUACACCCAAACUGAAAGUCUGACCCCCUCCAUAGGACAAAAGGCCUGGAAAGAGGAAAGCCCACAGCUCCUCUGGUCCCACGCUGCAAAACCCCAGAACAAACACCAGCUCUUCCUGCAGUGAACCUCCUGCUAAAGUUAAAAAGAGCAUCCCCCACCAGAACGGUGAGGCCCAACACAGAGCAUUGAACUCGUUCUGACACUAAGAGGGCCAAGAUCCCGAUGAUGAGAGACCAAAUGUAGAUAUUUAGCUGUUUUCUCUUUGACAGCUUUCCCCACUGCUGUGCAACGGACAGCCCAGAAACCUCCUGCUGCUGGAUGUCCAGUAAGGAUAAACCCACAUGUGAGAUGUUGACAAUGUCCUUUGUUUUAAUAUUGACAUCAAACCUGAUCUUCUACCAGCCUCAAUUAAACCCAGCAAAGAAACUUCCACAGGGAGACCAAGCACCACUUUGUAAGUGAAACUUAACCCACUCUGGCCUUUCCUGGUCUUUUUGGCUCCCUAAACUUUAAAAUUAAAAUUUUAUUUGUCAGGGAUCAGAGGCCACCAGGCCAACCCACUGAGCAGAAAUCCUGCAGUGAAAAAGCCUCCACCUGUUGCAAAGGUAAUUAUCUUUGGCUUUUUUCUGCAUGAAACACCUGAAAAUAUCAUUUACUGAAGUAGUAUUUUGUUUUGUUUUGUUUUACAGCCAAUUGUCGUGAAGCAUCCUGAGGCCUGGGAGAGACUCAAGACUCUCCCAACUGAGAAAAAGCCAAUUCCCAAACGUAAAUAUUCCUAAAUAUCACCAAUAUCAUCAUUGUACUAACCAUCUUAUGAGAAAUAUGAGUUAUUCACUCAAUUUUAAUCUAAAGAGCAAUAGAAAGAGAGCCAAGAUCCCGAUGAUGAGAGACCAAAUGUAGAUAUUUAGCUGUUUUCUCUUUGACAGCUCUCCCCACUGCUGUGCAAUGGACAGCCCAGAAACCUCCUGCUGCUGGAUGUCCAGUAAGGAUAAACCCACAUGUGAGAUGUUGAGAAUGUUCUUUGUUUUAAUAUUAACAUCAAUCCUGAUCUUCUACCAGCCUCAAAAAUCCACCCCACUUCAAGACAAGUCAGAGAGAAACAGACUUCGAAGAGAAGCUCAAGAAGAGCGGAGGAGACAGGCAGAUGUGAGUACCACCUCUAUGCAACAGUGAUCUCUUUGUCUUUGUGGAGGAAAUGUCAUUUAACAGCUCUUCUCCUUCAUCCUUUUUCUCACAGUUAAAUGGGUUUGACCUCAACCUGCAAGCCAGAGUCAUGGAGGAAUUUGAGAGGACUUAUUUUUCAGGCGAAACACCCUUUUACUGUGAUCUACUGUAUUGAUGUAUUGUAUUUAAUUUGGUUACCAAAGAUUAAAAUGUUCAAUAGUAAUAGUGUUGGCUGAUUUUUAUUUGAGCAGGUGCUCACCCUGCAUUUUUUUUUUCUUUAGCGUUCCGGACAGAUUGUAAAAGUGUCUU
ensembl:lncRNA